rnacentral:rRNA from 1 species
GACGUAGGGUGCGAGCGUUGUCCGGAUUUAUUGGGCGUAAAGAGCUCGUAGGCGGCUCGUCGCGUCGGCUGUGAAAACCCGCAGCUUAACUGUGGGCUUGCAGCUGAUACGGGCGGGCUAGAGUUCGGUAGGGGAGACUGGAAUUCCUGGUGUAGCGGUGAAAUGCGCAGAUAUCAGGAGGAACACCGGUGGCGAAGGCGGUUCUCUGGGCAUGUCCUGACGCUGAGGAGCGAAAGUGUGGGGAGCGAACAGG